UGUUGGCUCUGGAGAGGUUCCAGAGGAGGGUUACGAGAAUUAUCCCUGGGAUGAUUGGGUUGACAUAUGAGGAGAGUUUCGUGGCCCUGGGCUUUUACUCGCUGGAGUUUAGAAGGAUAUGAGG